rnacentral:rRNA from 1 species
GACAGAGGUGCCAAGCGUUAGGCGGAAUCACUGGGCUUAAAGCGUGUGUAGGCGGAUUUGUAAGUACCUUGUGAAAUCCCAUGGCUCAACCGUGGAACUGCUCGGUAUACUGCUUAUCUUGAGCCACUUAGGGGCUACCGGAACAAAUGGUGGAGCGGUGAAAUGCGUAGAUAUCAUUUGGAACGCCAAUGGUGAAAACAGGUAGCUGGGAGUGUGCUGACGCUGAGGCACGAAAGCCAGGGGAGCGAACGGG